rnacentral:rRNA from 1 species
CGGCAGGCUUAACACAUGCAAGUCGAACGCCCCGCAAGGGGAGUGGCAGACGGGUGAGGAACACGUGGGAACGUACCCUUUGGUUCGGAACAACCCUGGGAAACUAGGGCUAAUACCGGAUACGAGCGAGAGCUGAAAGGUUUACCGCCGAAGGAUCGGCCCGCGUCUGAUUAGCUAGUUGGUGAGGUAAUGGCUCACCAAGGCGACGAUCAGUAGCUGGUCUGAGAGGAUGAUCAGCCACAUUGGGACUGAGACACGGCCCAAACUCCUACGGGAGGCAGCAGUGGGGAAUAUUGGACAAUGGGCGCAAGCCUGAUCCAGCCAUGCCGCGUGAGUGAUGACGGCCCUAGGGUUGUAAAGCUCUUUUACCCGGGAAGAUAAUGACGGUACCGGGAGAAUAAGCCCCGGCUAACUUCGUGCCAGCAGCCGCGGUAAUACGAAGGGGGCUAGCGUUGUUCGGAUUUACUGGGCGUAAAGCGCACGUAGGCGGACGCUUAAGUCAGGGGUGAAAUCCCGAGGCUCAACCUCGGAACU